ACCUCCCCCUUUCUUCAUGCCUAACACAUGCAAGUCGAACGAGACCUUCGGGUCUAGUGGCGCACGGGUGCGUAACGCGUGGGAACCUGCCCUUAGGUUCGGAAUAACUCCCCGAAAGGGGUGCUAAUACCGGAUAAUGUCUUCGGACCAAAGAUUUAUCGCCUUUGGAUGGGCCCGCGUUGGAUUAGCUAGUUGGUAGGGUAAAAGCCUACCAAGGCGACGAUCCAUAGCUGGUCUGAGAGGAUGAUCAGCCACACUGGGACUGAGACACGGCCCAGACUCCUACGGGAGGCAGCAGUGGGGAAUAUUGGACAAUGGGCGAAAGCCUGAUCCAGCAAUGCCGCGUGAGUGAUGAAGGCCUUAGGGUUGUAAAGCUCUUUUACCCGGGAUGAUAAUGACAGUACCGGGAGAAUAAGCUCCGGCUAACUCCGUG
rnacentral:rRNA from 1 species